CUGGUUUCGUGUGUGACGUCACUUCCCUGCUCGCCAUUAGCCGACAGCUAACUGAUCUCAGCUCAGGCUGUCUCUGUGAUGAACAGAUCAAACUGGACACAAAAUAUCAUUCAUUCUAGCUGAGUGAGUUCAGCCAAGCAAAUGGCAGUCCAGCAGAUGGCAGCAGGAGUCUGAAGCUCCAGGGCCUCAGAUCACAG